GGUUUCUGCCUUGGCCUCUAAGGAGAAACCAGAAGACCAGGCAAUGGGAGCUGAGCUCCUAUCAUCCAGGCCCCAGGAUUUCCAUUGUCCAAACCUAAUGUGAUCUCCCAGCUAUAGCAAGGAGAAGAGCCAUGGGUCCUGGGCAUGAAGGCAACUGAGGGAAGAAAAUUCCAAGAGGCAACUGUUCAGCUUACUACAGAUGAUGUGUCCUUGCUCUCCUUCUGUCAGGAAGAAGCCCAUCUGACUAUUAUCUGGCAUAACCAAUUCCCAGACUAUCCUGUUUUUUAUAGAGUGAUUUGUAAGACUGGAACUCUUUAUCAAUCUCCAUUGUCUAUUCCUCAACCCUCAGGCUAUCUUUAAACAACUUUUGAGAUAUUGACUAGAAUAUUGUUAGAUUGCUCUGGAGCCUGGUCAGCCAGGUGCAUUUCAUCUGGUUCCUCCUUGAUCCCUUCCU